rnacentral:lncRNA from 1 species
GUUUCUGAACACCUGGUAUCUUGUAUGCAUUUUUGACCUAAAUUACAUUCAAGCUGUGAUGACUGCAUGCUCUGUACAUGUGAAGAGAACUGUCCUGUAACUUGGUCUGCUUCAUCUUGGACUGGAGUUUUACAAAAGUUUCUGCAGGCUCGGGAAAAGUGCAAUUUUCUGAGAACCUGUUUGGCUUCAUCCAGUCUGCGCAGCUGGGUAGGCAAAGGGCUUAGCCUUAAUUCUGGUAAAGUAUUUUUAUUCUGAAAAGAGAGCCACAGGCUAUUAUUUUAGACUAUUAAAUAAUCUUAGAUUAAUAUUCUGUGCUAGGAUGAACCUGUUACAGGAGUGCUUUAUUAUGGAUACUGUACACCGAGCAAACAUGCCUGAUUUCCAUUACCUGAAUUCUUCUUAAAAAGCACUUUUUGGUUUUCUGGCACCAAACUCAAAACAAAAGGUGCAGCAACAGAGUGCUCAGCCAGAAGACAACAAGAAGAUUCAGCUGGGAUGAAACAGCAACAAACAUUAACUUUUCUACACAGCUAUUAGGGAAAUAGGUGCUUUAAUGGGCUUUCAACCAUUAAAGGCAGAAUUAGAGGCUGAAUUAGAGUAUUCAAUUAAUAGGUAGUCAGCUGUGUAAAACCUAUCGCAUGACAUUAAUGCUCUAAAAUCCAAAUGGGUAAGUGUGAUUAAAGUCUCUAAUAAGCAGAAAUGUUUUUCCUGGCUUCAUAUAAAUAGAUAC